rnacentral:lncRNA from 1 species
AGGGGGAAGAGAUAUAACUAUUUAUGUAAUGUGAAAUUGUCUCCAUACAUAAUGAGUAAAGCAUUUUUAUUGCAACUGAUUCUAGGAUAUACAGGUCUCAUAAGAAACACCUUGUCAAUAUUCUGUAUGUAAAACCCAAUAAUUUCACUGGCACCUUUGGUUGAACUAUGAUAAUUUUGAAAUGUGGUGCCAUUGAAAACUUAGAAAGAGGGGAUAAACAUUGCUUAUUUCUCUCCCCGGAAUAUUCUUACAAUAGAUUGCGGAUUUAUUUGUUAAACAUAUUGUAUCUUAUGGUAUUAACAAAUAUAAAAUGUUAGAAUGAUGUAAACAUUGAAAUAGUUUUAACAAAGUAGGAUUUAUAUAUAGAUUAUGAAGGAACUUUCCAACUUGAGAAAAAAACCUACAAAUCUUUGGAGGUUCUGAAGGAAUAAGUGAGGUAUUUAAGGGACUUAGAGUAUGAGACUUGAAGGAAAUCCAUAUGGGAUUAAAGUCUCUGUCCUCAGACAAACAUUAAUGACAAACUGGCAGUAAUCUAAGCCUAAUUCUACACUGUGUCCAGUCAUCAUUGAGAAGAGUCAACAGAUAAAAGGAUUAGGGUUAGGUUAGGUCUAGGGUUAGGGUUGCUGUUAGGGAUUAGGAUUAGGAUUAGCAUUAGUGGUUAGGGUUAGGGGUUAAAGAAUAGCUCAGUGGGUAAUAACACUGACUGCUCUAACGAAGGUCCUGAGUUCAAUCCCAGUAACCACAUGGUGGCUCACAACCAUCUGUAAUGAGAUAUGACACCCUCUUCUGGUGUGUCUGAAGACAGCUACAGUGUACUUAGAUAUAAGUUAUAAUAAAUAGAUAAUUAGAUAAUAAGGGUUAGGGGUUAGGAAUAGGCUCAAACACAUUCACUUUUGUGUGGCAAAUUUUGUAAAGUGUUUGAAAGUGGUGUAAAAGCAGUGAUGGGGAUCAUCUUUUAGCAAUACUUGAUCAGAAUAUUUUUACCUUUCUGAUACCACCAUUGACCCCAGCAUGAUUCUGGGAAAUUCAAUUCCAGGUGCAACUGGAGUUUCUAGUUGUAGAAGUUUUCUAGGUGUGUAUGGUAUUGGCUGGGUGGACAGGGCAAGUUCUACUUGCUGUGUUGCAAACCCUGUGUCAAAAAGCAGACAUUAGAUUAAUCCUCAACUUGGUUUUGUGUAUUCUUCAGUAAGGCUGGUGUUGCCUGAAACCACAAGGGUGCCUGAAGGGCUUCAGAGCCCUUGCCUACCUUUCUGAUCACCUCUGUUCCCAAAGAGAGCUCUAGAACAUGAGGCCUCUGCUUGAAAGAUAGAUUAGUAGGAACUGGAGAGUCAGAAAUAUAGAGUUUAGGAGUCACUUUUAAUUAUUUUUGUAGGAGUUGUAAAGUCUGUGUUUAGUUAAUUUCUAUACAUGUACAGUCAAACAUAACAUUGGUCAAGUACAUGUUCUUUCUGUUGGAUUUUUCUUAAUUCUUUGGAUGAAAACAUGUUUUUUUUUAAGAUUUAUUUAUUUAUUAUAUGUAAGCAAACCUUUAAUUGGGGCUGGCUUACAGUUUCAGAGGUUUAGUCUAUUUUCAUCAUAGCAGGAAGCAUGGCAACAUGCAGGCAGACAAGGAGUUGAGAGUUCUGCAUUUUGAUCUAAAGGCAUCCAGGAAGAGACUGUCUUUCAGGGGGCUACCAGGAGGGUCUGUAAGUACAUUGUAGCUGUCUUCAGACACUCCAGAAGAGGGAGUCAGAUCUCGUUACGGAUGGUUGUGAGCCACCAUGUGGUUGCUAGGAUUUGAACUCUGGACCUUCGGAAGAGCAGUCGGGUGCUCUUACCCACUGAGCCAUCUCACCAGCCCAGCAUGUUUAUUUUUAGGGUUAAUAUUUUUUAGUCCUUGCCUUCAUUCUUUCUCAAAUAUUGUACACAUUCUUGAUUGUUGUACCUUUGUGGUAAGAACAAAAAUCACAUUGUAUCAAAGUGUGUAUCAUUCCUUAGUAAUCUCACUGAAAAUUUUAUUGAGUUAUUUCACAUGCCAUAUAGAUUUGAUAUCAGCUCUCCUUUUAUAAAUUCUUAUGAAUUUUCUUUGGAUUUUAUUGAAUGUGUGCUGCAAAUUGAGCAUAGCAAGCAUCCUUUUUUGGGAGGGAAUACAUCAUUUUAAUAGUUUUUAUGGUAGUAUAAAAAGGUAAAAGACAUUAUUCUACAUAAUUACUUAUUUAUCAAACUACAGUAAGUGUAUAAAACUGAAAAUGAUUUUUAAAAAAGUGUACAGAGCCAUAGAAAAGGGAGCUUAGGAUAGAAUUUGGUAGCACAAAACAUGUUGUUUUCAUCACAUAAAUACCACCAAAUAUGAUUUAAUUGAAAAGACAAAAAUUGAAAAUUAAAUGUGGUUUAGAAUUGAACAAUGAAUCUGAAUGUCACAUGUAACUGCUUAUUAUCAUACAAAAACAAUUUUUUAUGGCAGACAUUGGGAUUCUCUACAGAUAUCAACUAAAAUUAGUGCAACAGUGUUGUGUGGUUAUACUUGAGGUAAAAUGGCAUGUAAAUAGUGUACAUAUCUGAUGCAUUUGAACAUAUUAUCUACAUCCAUAUAACAUCAUUACCUACCAAAAAAAAAAAACAGAACCAUGUUCUCUGUUCAUUCUUAUUCUCCUAUGAUUAUAUGUGAGUACAGUAUACAGAGUUCUCAUAAAAUGACACAAUUGCUAGGAAUCCCAGAAAUGGCCUCCAUAUAUUUUCCAUGCAUUUGGAAUUAACUUAAAGAAGUAUCAGAAUUCUAAUGCUUGUUGUAGUUAGAUUCAUGGUGGCCUAAAUUAUAAAAUAACCUAACUUCUCAUUAGUAGAUAACAAGCUGGGCGCCUCAGGAAGACACUGAGCUGAAUGAAGAAAGAUGAUAGCAAUGGAUGACAGGUGACUCAUCUUCAUUUUAUUCUGAUCAAAUAACCAGUCUUACUUAGAUGGUGGCCCUUUCAUUUUUGCUUUGGAGAACAAAUUUAGACAUUUAACAUUUUGAUGUAUCACAUUGUAUAUGUUUCACAUAAAAUUAAUGGAGCAAUGCUGUAUAACAUUACAUACGUAUUUCUAUUUUUUAUAUAGUUGUUUAAACCUCAGUUUUCCUUAAAGAGAAGCUAGACAACUCCUUUGGAAUUAAACGAGCAGGAAACUGUAAUUCACAAUCCAAAGUCGUGAGAACUAAUACAAGAAAGUGACCUGGGCUUGUUUCCUGAAUGUUACAGAUUUUACAUUGCUGAGAGCAAAACUUCUGAUUUAACAGAUGUAGACAGUUCCUAAGAAUGAGCUUGUCAUAAACUCCUGUGUGAUGCUCACCGUCUAAACAGACAGAAUGAUAACUAUCUGUCAAACUCAUUCCUUCUUAACCAUAGUAAGAAGCUUAACCAUAGUGAAUACAAUCAAAAGGUUUAUCUCCAGUACAUAUUCUUUCAUGAUGAUGAAGCCUACAGAAUUGUGCAAAGGCUUCACCAUAUACUCACAGGGUUUCUGUCUUAGCAUUUCCAUUGCUAGGAAUAGACAUCAUGGCCAAGGCAACUCUCAUAAAAGCAAACCUUUAACUGGGGCUGGCUUACAGUUUCAGAGGUUUAGUCUAUUUUCAUCAUAGCAGGAAGCAUGGCAACAUGCAGGCAGACAAGGAGUUGAGAGUUCUGCAUUUUGAUCUAAAGGCAUCCAGGAAGAGACUGUCUUUCAGGGGGCUACCAGGAGGGUCUGUUCUGCACUGAGUAGAGCUUCAAAGCCUACCACCAGACUGAUCCACUUCCUCCAACAAGGUCACACUUCUGAAUAGAGCUACUCCCUGUGACAAACAUAUUUAAACUCCCACAUUCCACUACCUGGCCCCUAUAAGCUUGUUGGAGUACAGGAAUAUAUGGGGACCAUACUUAAACAUAGCAUAAUGAAAACUACAUGAGGUCCAACUUUAAAAGUCCCCAUCAUCUAUACCAGUCUCAAAAAUGUUAAAAGUUCAAAGUUCAAAGUCUCUUCUGAGAUUCAUCCAAUCAUGUAACUAAUCCCCUAAAAAAGAAAAUCAAGAGCUAGGCAUGGUGGCGCACACCUUUAAUCCUAGCACUCGGGAGGCAGAGGCAGGCGGAUUUCUGAGUUUGAGGCCAGCCUGGUCUACAGAGUGAGUUCCAGGACAGCCAGGGCUACAGAGAAACCCUGUCUCAAAAAAACAAAAAAAAAAACAAACAAACAAAAAAAAACAACAAAAAAAAGAAAAUCAAAAAACAUAUAGUUCCAACUACACAAGAUAUACUUCACCAUUCCUAAAUGAUAUUGUGAGGAAAUACUGGACCAAAACAAGACCAAAAGCCAGCUGGGAAAUCUCCAAAUUCUACAUCUCCAUAUCUUAUGUUAAAGCAUUCUUCAGAUCUACAAGUCCUUUCUGCUUUGUUCACUGCAGUACAAUUUUUUCUCUUUGGCUGGUUUUAUUCCUUGAAAGCAGUUUUCCUGAGCAGGACUCCACAGUUCUGGCAUCACAAAGAUCUUGGGGUCUCUGAGGCAAUCUCAGUGUUACAGUUUCUUGUUCCAGGGUCUAGGAUCCACACAUGAUCUUCUGCGUUCCUCCAAAGAGAUCGGGCCACUUCUCCAGCUCUGCCCUCUGUAUCACUCUAAGCUCUGGUUGACUCCACUCUACUUCUGCUGCUGUUCGUCCUGCUCAUCCCAUGGGACUGGCAUCUUCAAAAUGCUGGGUUCUUCUGUUGCAACUAGGCUUCACUGAUAGCCUCAUUUAUGCUCCCUUCAUGGUGCCAAGCCUCUGCAGGACACCUUCAUGCCUUCAAAACCAGUACCACCUGGGUGAUUCUUACAUGUGACCAAGUUCAGCUGCAACACAAGGUACAAUGUGGCUAUCUCUGGAACACAGCUUCUUUGUCCUCUCAGAAAACACUUCCUAGAAGAUUUCAUCUCAGUGAUGCUGGUCUCUUCUUCAUCACUUCUAAUCUCUUAGCUACAGCUAACAAGCAUCAAUUUUUCCAGUAGCCCCUUCUAUUUUUGCUUCUAAAGCCAGAGCCACAUGGACAAAGCUGCUGGGUUCUGCUGCUUGCUGGGCCUGGGACAUGGCCCCUUCUAUUACAUUAUCACCAGUUUUCUCUUCUCCAACUCCUUUACUGCCUCAGCUUGGCUGUCCUGAACUCAGAGAUCUGGAGGCUCUGUAUCCACAGGCCUAGACCUAAGCUUUUCUUCAUCUGCAACUUGUUCUGUAUCAGGAUGGACUUGAACUCAGAUGCUUGAUGCUCAUCUCCUAGGGUUUAAAGGCAUGUACCACCAUGCCUGGACCUAUGCUUUCCAUUUUAUAUCUUAUAUUGAAAACCAAGAGUAGCAAUCACAAUCCAUUCCUUGUCAAUUUUAAACAUACUUGUAUCUCCUUAUGUCAAUAUGUAAACAAUAACCAGGUUUCUUUCCUCUGUGUUCUUUUAUGUUGCUGUAGAUGACUGUGACUUUUAAAUGCUUUACCACAUUGAUUACAUUCAUAAGGUUUCUGUCCAGUAUAUGUUCUUUUAUGUCUUUGGAGAUUAGUCUUACAUCCAAAGUCUUUACAACAUUGAUUGCAUUCUAAUGUUUCUUUCUAAAAUGUGUUCUUUUAUGAUAUUGGAGACUAGUGUGAUGUGCAAAGGCUUUACCACAUUGAUUACAUUGAUAAGGUUUCUCUCUAGUAUGUAUUCUUUUAUGUAUUUGAAGACUAUAGUGUGCUGCAAAGGCUUUACCACAUUGAUUACACUCAUAAGGUUUCUCUCCAGUAUGUGUUCUUUUAUGAUAUUGAAGACUACUAUUUUGUGAAAAGGCUUUAUCACAGUGAUUACACUGAUAAGGUUUCUCUCCAGUAUGUAUUCUUUUAUGCUUUUGGAGAUUAUACUGAACUGCAAAGGCUCUACCACACUGAUUACAUUCAUAAGGUUUCUCUCCAGAAUGUGUUCUUUUAUGUGUUUGGAGUUGACUGGGUCUUACAAAAGCUUUACCACAUUGAUUACAUUCACAAGUUUUCUCUCCAGUAUGUGUUCUUUUAUGAUAUUGGAGACUACUCUUUUGUGAAAAGGCUUUACCACAUUGAUUACAUUCAUAGGGUUUCUCUCCAGAAUGUGUUCUUUUAUGUGUUUGGAGUUGACUGGGUCUUACAAAAGCUUUACCACAUUGAUUACAUUCACAAGUUUUCUCUCCAGUAUGUGUUCUUUUAUGAUAUUGGAGACUACUCUGUCGUGAAAAGGUUUUACCACAUUGAUUACAUUCAUAGGGUUUCUCUCCAGAAUGUGUUCUUUUAUGUGUUUGGAGUUGACUGGGUCUUACAAAAGCUUUACCACAUUGAUUACAUUCACAAGUUUUCUCUCCAGUAUGUGUUCUUUUAUGAUAUUGGAGACUACUCUGUCGUGAAAAGGUUUUACCACAUUGAUUACAUUCAUAGGGUUUCUCUCCAGAAUGUGUUCUUUUAUGUGUUUGGAGUUGACUGGGUCUUACAAAAGCUUUACCACAUUGAUUACAUUCAUAAGUUUUCUCUCCAGUAUGUGUUCUUUUAUGAUAUUGGAGAUUACUCUGUCGUGAAAAGGCUUUACCACAUUGAUUACAUUCAUAAGGUUUCUGUCCGGUAUGUGUUCUCUUAUGUAUUUGGAGAUGAUUGUAACAUGCAAAGGCUUUACCACAUUGAUUACGUUCAUAGGGUUUCUCUCCAAUAUGACUUCUUUCAUGCCUGCAACGAUAAUUGGCACAUGUGAAAGUUUUACCAUAUUCAAACAUUUUAACAGUCUAUAUGAAUUUUAUAAUUUGGUCUAAUGGUAAAGAUGAAUCAGAUAUUAAGGUUUUAUCACUUUGUUUAUAUUCAUGGUGUUCCCCCUCAUUAUGGGUUGUUUUACACCUUUGAAGAUAUCCAUCAUGGUAAGAACAUUUAUUACAUGACUCACAUUUAUAACAUCCUUUUUGUAUAUGAGAUUUUUAUAUGAUGUAUUUUGCAUGUCUGAAGAUCAAUGGAACAAGUCAAAGCUUUACCACACUGACUGCAUUUAUAAUUUUUCAUAUAGUAUGAGUCAAACCACAUUUGUAAAGUGAACCAGGACAAAGAGAAUAAUUGCCAAACACCUAGUAUCUUAGGGAUUUUCUGCAGUUUGACUUUGGGGAUUGUCCCUGUAAACUCAGAAAACCAAGUAACUGCAAACUUGUAUCAUAUUCAGAUAGUCUACCAAAGGCAGAAUACUACAUAUCUUUUCAUUGUUCUGAGAUAGAAACAGGGGAAUUGCUUCUUUCAAUUUUCCUAUGUUCACAAGGCUUUUAUCCAUUGUGACACAUGAUAUAUGUAUUAAAAGAAGAAUAACAAAUGAAAAGUUUCCACACUGCAUUCACAUAGUUUGACAUUUUGCUCAUCAUAAACAUGUGGAAUAUGGAUUAAAGUUUCUCCAUGAAACAUUCUUGACUCUCAUAAAUUGCCCUCUCAGUAAACUUAGCAAAGUCACUACAAGUAUAUGAGCAUCACCAACUUUACCAUGGACUAUUUGCUUAUUAGAAGAUUUUGGAUGGGAGUUGGAAAGAUGGCUCAGUGGUUAAGAGCAGAGGUCCUGAGUUUGACUCCCAGCAACCACAUGGUUGCUCACAACCAUCUGUAAUGGAAUCUGAUGCCCUCUUUUGGUGUGUCUGAAAACAGCUUCAGUGUACUCUUAUACAUAAAAUAAAUAGUUCUUAAAAACAAAAAACAAAACAAACAAACAAAAAGGGUAUGUGAAGUGAGAUAUGGGGCAUGCACUCUUUUAAAAAAUAGGUUUUGGAGCUAUAACCUAUUCAAUGUAUAUACCUUUUGCAAUAUCUAAGUGUUAUGAGACUGAAUGAUUGGUAGUUCUACAGCAUAGCUCUAAUGCAGCUACAAAUCAAAUAAAGAUAUUGGUUAAGUUACUGUACCCUUAUCUUUUUUCUUGAAUGCCUUGUAAACACAAAUCAGGUAACUGACAUUGAGGUACAUGGUUCUGUGAAAAUAUAAUAAUCAUAGCUACACUUAAAGGACUGAUGUUUUGCACUCUUGUUUUUCUUUAGAGCUUCUAAGAAAUACUAAAAUUUCCUUAGUUGUAUUUAUAUCAGCUUGCACAAGAAAAUUACCUUUCAUGUCUUCUAGAAUUUUGACAAUGUUCUUCAAUAUGAUGGUCUUCCCAAUUGUAGCCUAAAAUGCAAUACCAGAAAAUGAAUGACAUAGUAUUGGAAAUUAGACAAAAUUCAAGUUACAGUGAAUUUUCACAGUACUGUGAAAGCUGUGAACAUUCCGUGAACCUGAUUUACUCAGCUCAUUCUUCCUCAUUUUCAAUUGAAAUAACAUAAGAUCAAUAACAAAAAAAAUUUGUUCCCUUAUUUUGAAAAGCAAAAGAAAAUUCACAGUCUUACCUAUAGCAGUGAUGUUCUGGUAGGUCUCCAACAUCACCUCUUCAUAGAGACUUUUCUGGGAAGAAUCCAGCAAAUCCCACUCUUCCCCAGUGAAGUUCACAUGCACAUCAUCAUAAGUCACUGCAUCCUAAAAUAUCCCAUACAUGUAUACAACACAAAGCAUGAUACUAACAUCACUGUAAAAUAAAUAUAUGCUUCCUUGACAAUAUAUUCACAUAAUUCUAGUGCUUCCUCCACUUAUUUCCUGACACAGAAGUUAUAAUCUAAUCAGCAAGCUAUUUUAGAAGGAAACUGAAUUAUGUGUUCACCUGUGUCACUUCUGAACCCUUUGAAUAGGAUAUAGCCUUGCAAGACAAAUUACAAUUGAUAGAGGGUGAAGGAGAGAGGCAAACAGAUCAACAUUAUUAAGCACACAUCAGAGAAAUUGGAUGAACAAUCACAAAGUACAAAAGUGAUGGGCAAGCUGGGUAUGUUUGCUCAUGGCUUUAGUCCCAGAGGCACAGGCAGGUGUAUAUCAUUGAGUUCCAUGCCAGCCUGGGCUACGAGUUCCAGGACAGCAAGAGGUGCGUAUUAAGACCCUCAUUCCCCUGCAAAAUGCAAUCAAGCCAACAAAAAAACAUAGAAAGAAUUCAGAGAUCUUUAUUGAAGUUCCUACAAAAAAUUACACAUUCACUACAGUUCUGUAGUCAUCUGGCAAAAACCUGAAGUGGCCCAGUUUAAACUGAAACAUAAAUAAAUUUUUAAAAAAGAGAAUGCAUGUUUAAACAGUUACAAAUGGACAGAUGAAAAUACUAGUAAUAUAAGUGUUGAUUAUAAAUGAGCAUCAUAGGGCAAGGGAGAUGGCUCAGCAGUGGAAAGCUCUUACUGAUCUUCCAUAUAAAGGGGUCAAUUGCCAGUAUUUACAUGAGGACCCACAACUGCUCAUUACUUCAAGUUUAAGUGUUCCGAGGCACAACAUGUUCAUCUGACAACAGUAAAGAUGAGACACACAUGAUAUUCAUAUUCAUGCACACUGGCAAAAAACCUCAUACUCUUUGGGAAAAUUCAACAGGUAGGAAAAAUGUCACACACCUACAAUCCAAUGACUCUUAAGCCUUGGGUAGUAUUGAUGUCAUGAACACAUGCCAUCCUAAGAACUAGAAUAUAGUCUGUAUAUUCUUUGCCAAACAUCAACAUUCAAGAUGUGGAUGAAGAUCUGCACAACAGCAUACGCUUGCAUGUACAAAAACCUAUAUUCCAAGCACAUAAGCUAAUAAUAUAAAAACAAAAUCAGGCAAGCAUGUUGGUCCACAUCUAAUCCCCUUCAGAAGAGGAAAGGCUACACGGAGAAACCUUGUUUUGAAAAACAAAAACAGCCGGGCAUGGUGGCGCACGCCUUUAAUCCCAGCACUCGGGAGGCAGAGGCAGGUGGAUUUCUGAGUUCGCGGCCAGCCUGGUCUACAAAGUGAGUUCCAGAACAGCCAGGGCUACACAGAGAAACCCUGUCUCGAAAAACCAAAACCAAAACCAACAACAAAAAAAAUUAAAUAAGUCCUUUAAAAAAAAAAAAAGGAAUAAAAUUAAAAAUAAAAAAGAAACUGCCAGGCUUGCAAAAUGGCUUAGUAUUGAAUAGCAAAUGCUUCUACAGUAUCUUAUGUGAUUUAGGGACAGAGUCCAAAUGGUGAAUGUAUAAGAGCAUGAGAAGAAAGCUGAAUGAUCAGUUUCAGCCACGACACAGUAGCCACAAAGAACAAAAUUUGUCCUAUCUAAAAGAAAUGCAGGGGCAAAGAUGGAGCAGAGACUGAGGGAACAGCUAAUGAUAACUCACCCAACUUGAGACCCACCUUAUGGGCAAGCACCAAUCAAUCAUUGACAUUAAAGAUACUUUGUUUUGCUUGCAGACAGGACCUUAGCAUAAUUGUCCUCUAAGAGGCUCCACCCAGCAGCUGACUGAAACAGAUGUAGAGAUCCAUAGCCAAAUAUUGAAUGGACCUUGGGGACUCUUCUGAAAGUGUGCAGGGCAGGACUGAAGACCCUGAGCAGGAUAGGAACUCAACAGGAAGAGCAACAGACACAAUUAACCUGAAUCCCCUAACCCUUGGGGAGUCUCAGAGGCUGAGCCACCAACCAAAGGCUGGACUAAGGUUCCUGGCACAUAUGUAGCAGAUGAACAGCUCAGACUUCAUGUGGGUCUCCCAAGAACUGGAGUAGAGGCUGUCCCUAAAGCUCUUGACUAUCUUUGGAAACUGUUCCCUUAAGGACACUGUCAUGUCUGGCCUUAGUGGGAAAGAAUGCACCUAACCCAACAGACACUUAAUGCACCAUGAUUGGGGGACAUGCAGGAGAAUCCACAGCCACUCAAAGGAGAAACAGAGGGGAUUGGGGACAGGGGCUCUAUGAGGGGGGUGACCUGGAGUGGGAACAGUGAUCAGGAAGAUAAUGAACAUAUAAAUUAUUGGAGAAACAAAACAUAAAAAAGAAAGAAAUUUGUUGAGUCUACAGACAAAUCCUAUCCCCUAAUUAAAAAAAAAAAAAAUCUGGAAAGGGUCCUCCUAAAAGUCUCUAUAAGCUCACCAAAGAAAGCCACGAAGGACAGACAAGUAUUCAAAGAUAUCAACUUAUCUAGGAACAUUUUGUUUCAAUCAACUACAUUCUGACCCUGGGCACUAUAGGUUCAUAUUCACCCUGUGAUGAAAAUGUAUUCGGAGUAACUUCAAUGAUCCUAAUAGUCUGUAGAAGCUCCUACACUGUUCAAAUGUUCAAAGUCUCUUCUGACACUCAGGGAAAUUUCUUUUUUUUUUCUUUUUUUUUUUUUUUUUUUUGUCACAAAUUCUGUCUUGUUUUAUUAUUAUUUCUUUUUUAAUUUUUUAUUAGGUAUUUUCCUCGUUUACAUUUCCAAUGCUAUCCCAAAAGUCCCCCAUUCCCACACCCCCACUCCCCUACCCACCCACUCCCCCUUUUUGGCCCUGGUGUUCUCCUGUACUAGGGCAUAUAAAGUUUGCAAGUCCAAUGGGCCUCUCUUUCCAAUGAUGGCCGACUAGGCCAUCUUUUGAUACAUAUGCAGCUAGAGACAAGAGCUCCGCGGUACUGGUUAGUUCAUAUUGUUGUUCCACCUAUAGGGUUGCAGUUCCCUUUAGCUCCUUGGGUACUUUCUCUAGCUCUUCCAUUGGGGGCCCUGUGAUCCAUCCAAUAGCUGACUGUGAGCAUCCACUUCUGUGUUUGCUAGGCCCCGGCAUAGUAGGUAAAUUUCUUGAUCGCCACUUCUUUUAAAAUCAGAACACAAGUUAUAUCUUUCCAACAUACAAUGGCACAGAAUACCCCUUCUCAUUCCAAUAGAUAGGCAUGUGCACAUAGGGAGGGGAAAUUGGACCAAGGCAAGAAACAUAGCAGGGCAAACACCAAAUCAUAUUCCUUUGUUUGAGAUACAUUGGACUUCACUUUCUAAGGGCUUAGAUGGACCAAUUCCUGUAACUUCUCAUUAAUCUCUCAGUUUGGGUAAUUUCUUUCCCUGUGUGCAUCUCUGCAUGACAGUUUUCUCAAUGCCUUAGGUAUCUCAACAUUUUUGUUCACAAAAUGCAACUCAAUCUUCAUCCUCACUUCAAUACAAUGAACUCUCACAGAAUCUUCACUGGGGCUCUGACUCUGCCAAAAGAUGGUUAGAAUACUGCUGAACUGAAACCAUAGAGGAAGUGUUCAUAACUUUGAAUUUUUCAUCGUUCAGUUUCCAGAACCAGCACAAUAUGUGUGAUUCUGUCAUGUUUGGCUUCUAAGUUGAUCGACUCUACCAUGCUUGGACCACAGUUGGGAGGUUUUAUUUCAAGUUCCUUCCAGUGACUAGGAAUCACUUUGUCUACUCCUUCCAUUAAUUCAAGCUGAACAGGAGGGAGUGUUACCCUUAGGGCACCUUCUUAGUCGUAUACCAACAAAGGCAUGUGCUUUACUAUGUUCACAGCAGUUCUAUUCAUAAUAGCUGGAAACUGGAAACAACCCAGAUGUCCCUCAACAGAACAGUGGAUACAGAAAAUGUGGUUCACUUAAAAAAAAAAAUGGAAUAAUAUUCAGCUAUUAAAAACAAGGACAUCAUGAAACUUGUAAGCACAAGAACAGAACUAAAAAAUAUCAUCCUGAGUGAAGUAUUCCAGACCCAAAAGGACAUGCAUAUAUGUACUCACUCACAAGUAACUAUUAACCAUAAAGUACGGGUUAUCCAUGCUACAUUCCAGACCCAAAAAAGCUAACCCAAGUGAGCAUGGUUGAAUCUCCUUCAGAAGGCAAAAUAAAACAGUUAUAGGAGGCAGACAGGGAGAGGGAACUUGGUGGGAAGCAGGAUUAGAAAUGGGAAGGGGAAACAGUCAGGAACAGUUGUGGUGAGAGACAGGAGAGAGGGCCAUAGAACCAGGAAAUCUGCAGCUGGCGUUGGGGGGGGGGGAUGUAGGGGCAUCUUUAGCAUGUGAAGGAGACCAUGGAUAAAAGGCACCCAGGAGUCUAUGGGGGUGACAUGAGCUGAGAUGCAUAGCAGUGGGAUGUGGAAUGUGAAGAGGCCACUUCCUGCAGCCAGGAUUGACAGCCAGUGGAGAUUUAAGGACACCACUUGAACCAUAAAACUUUCUACACAAAAUUUGUCCUGUAACAAGAAAUGCAGGCACAGGGGCUGGAGAGAUGGCUCAGCGGUUAAGAACACUGACUGCUCUUCCCAAAGUCCUGAGUUUAAAAUCCCAGCAACCACAUGGUGGCUCACAACCACCCAUAAUGAGAUCUGAUGCCCUCUUCUGGGGUGUCUGAAAAUAGCUACAGUGUACUUACAUAUAAUAAAUAAAUCAAAAAGGAAAGGAAAGGAAAGGAAAGGAAAGGAAAGGAAAGGAAAGGAAAGGAAAGGAAAGGAAAGGAAAGGAAAAAAGAAAUGCAAGCACAAAGAUGGAGCAGACACUAAGGGAAGAGUCAACCUAUACCUUUCACAACUUGAAACUCAUCCCAUGGGCAAACAUUAAUCCCUGAUAUUAUUCAGAAUACUUUUAUACAUGUAGUCAGGAGCCUACACAGCAGCUGACUGAAACAGAUGCAGAGAUUCACAAAGAUUGGACACCACAGACACAUAAAACACUCCAUGAAAUUUACAAGAAAAUAGAUUCAAAUAGAAAAAAAAAAAUCACCCUAAGCGAGGGAAACAAGACCCAGAAAAACAAAUAUGGUAUGCAUUGAUUUAAAAAUGGAUAUCAAUUGUUAGGAAAAUAAUAAUCAAGCUACAGUCCACAGACCUGGAGAGGAUAGGUAAAGAGGAGGGCUACAGGAGAUAAGAAUGGAUCUCCCUGGAAAGGGAACUAGAAUAGGUUCUGUGGGCGGACUAAAGAUGAACAGGGACAGAGAGGGAGUCCAGUGCAGGGAGAACAACUAGAAUUAUGGGGCACUUGCGAGUUAGUAUAGAAACCUAGUGUACUGGUAGCUUCCUAGAAUCUAUGAGGGUGACCUUAUAGUAAUGGAGAUACAGAAACUGGCCAUCUUUUGUGGCCAGGCAGGGCUUCAGUAGGAGAACUGGGUUAUAUUCAGUUGAAGUGUUGGCAGAGAAGGUACCAUGGGGAUCCCUAAACAACACUGAAUACAAACAGGUUUGGAAGUUUGGAGACUGCCCUCCAGUUUUCUAGUCUCUUUGGGAUGAAAAGGCACUCUAUAGGCUACAGAAAGAGAAUCCUGGACACCAACCCACCUACAAAACCCUCCAUGUAAAAAUCUGUCCUGCCUGCAGGAUGUGCAGGGGCACGGUACAAACUCUUUGGAGUCAGGAACGAAUGGUUGCUUUAACUUGAAGCCCAUACCAGGAGAGGAAAGUCAAGUCUUACACAACCUGGAUGGCCAAAAAUUUCACACAGACUAAAAUGACAAACAUGGGGUAUGUCUGCUGGUAUGUUAUGGCUGUUAGCUUUGUGUUUGUGUGGGAAUCCUAACAGUGAGAACAGAUGUAGCUCUGACUCCCUCAACUGCUCUUGAAACUCUUUUCUUCCUAUUGAGUUGCCUUUUCCAGACUCAGUAUGAGGUCUAUUGUCUUUUCUUUUGUAUCCUGUUUGGUCUUUUUUUGGCUGUCUACUCUUGGAGGUUUGUUCUUUUCUGAAGAGGAAAUGGAGCAGGGAGAGUGGAUCUGGGGAAGAGGGAAGGUAGGCUCAACUUAUGAGGAUUAGAGGGACGAAAAACAGUGGUCAGAAGAGUUUAUUCCAAUUUAAAAACAUUAAUUCAAAUUUUCCUAAUUGUAAAUGCAAAGGAGAGAAGCAAUAAUGAACAUAGAGAAGCAAAAUAGGGAAGACCGGAAAGGAAUGACUUUGACAGAUACAGUUCUCAUUCUGUCUCUUUAGAAGGUGAGCAUCACACAGGAGUUUAUGACAAGCUCAUUCUUGGGCGCUGUCUACAUCUGUUAAAUCAGAAGUUUUGCUCUCAGCAAUGUGAGAUCUGUAUCACACAGGAAACAAGCCCAGGUCACUUUCUUGUGUUAGUUCUCACGAAUUUGGACUAUAGAAUUACAGAGUUUCCUGCUCAUUUCAUUCCAAAAGAGUAGCCUCGCU